UCCUGGCUUAGGAUGAACGCUGGCGGCAGGCUAAUACAUGCAAGUCGAACGGUAAGGCCGAGUGCAGCAAUGCAUGAGGUACACGAGUGGCGCACGGGUGCGUAACGCGUAUGCAACCUGCCCCCCAACCGGGACAAAACAGCUGGAAACGGCUGCUAAUAUCCCAUAGCCACGCGGGAGGGCAUCCUCCUGUGUGUAAAAGAUUCAUUGGGUUGGGGAUGGGCAUGCGUAUUAUUAGGUAGUUGGCGGGGUAACGGCCCACCAAGCCGACGAUGAUUAGGGGUCCUGAGAGGGUUAACCCCCCACACUGGAACUGAGACACGGUCCAGACUCCUACGGGAGGCAGCAGUAGGGAAUAUUGGGCAAUGGGAGCAAUCCUGACCCAGCCAUGCCCGCGUGAAGGAGGACGGCCCUAUGGGUUGUAAACUUCUUUUGCCGCAGAGUAAACCCGGGGACGUGUCCCCGGUUGAGAGUAUGCGGCGAAUAAGUAUCGGCUAACUCCGUGCCAGCAGCAGC
rnacentral:rRNA from 1 species